GUAAACAGUGCGUGAGACCGCUUAGAGGUAAACGGGUGGAGUUGAACUGCAAUCUCUGAGAAUUCAGCUGGGGAAUUUUGCUUGAGCUUGGUCAAUUGGGCAGGGCCUCGAGGUAUGCUUAUCUGCAUGUUCUGAUCUUCGGAUCGGGAUGCGCGUUGCUCUUAUCAAGGGCUGUGCGCCUUGGGUGUCCGGCUGGCUCAUUCGCCAGUGCACUUUCUUGGAGUGAUCACCACGACCGGCGCUGCUGCUGGGCUGUUAUAGUUAAACCGGGCAUUCUUCGUUCAUGUGGCGUUGGGUGUUCGACACGGCAGGUAACUGGGUUCUUGCUUCGGCUUGUUUCUUGGUGUAUGCUGGCUUUAACGGUUCCAUGUGGUGUGUCGGAGACGGCGGCUUGUGGUGUGUGCAUGCGUGUCUAUCUGUUGGGGCAUUCUGGUUUGGUAGCUGUGUGCUUGUUCAAGCAGGCCCAGUUAUGGCUGGAGUGUGUCAGUGGGUGGUUGCGUGUGUGACACUUUUCAGGGCCAAUAGUCUGUGGUGUUGUGGUAGACUAUCCACCUGACCCGUCUUGAAACACGGACCAAGGAGAGUAACAUGUGCGCGAGUCAUUGGGCGUAACGAAACCCACAGGCGCAGUGAAAGUAAAGGGCUGGCUUGUCCAGUCUAAGGUGAGAUCCUGUCGUUGUUCAUGCGUGGUACCACCAAGCUUGGAGCGGCAGGCGCAUCACCGGCCCGUCCCAUGACGUGGUCACAAUUCUCGGAUUGUGCGCCGUCGGGGCGGGGCAUGAGCGUACAUGUUGAGACCCGAAAGAUGGUGAACUAUGCUUGCGCAGGUUGAAGCCAGAGGAAACUCUGGUGGAGGACCGCAGCGAUUCUGACGUGCAAAUCGAUCGUCAAACGUGAGUAUAGGGGCGAAAGACUAAUCGAACCAUCUAGUAGCUGGUUCCCUCCGAAGUUUCCCUC
rnacentral:rRNA from 1 species